UCCAUAGGGUAUUGAUUAAAAUACUAAAAAUAUCUAUCUUAUAAACUGCUGCAGGCUUGAGAAUGGGUAUUCGAGGCCACAAAAUAAUUGCCAUUUUCUCUUAUGAAUUGUUCAUCAAAUAAAUGAUUUGUCGGGUGUUAUGAAUCGCCGGGCAGU
rnacentral:rRNA from 13 species